GAGCUAAGUUGCGGAGUAACCAGUAGGAGGAGCCGCAGGGCUUCUGUUUUUCAGAGCACCAGAAAGAGCUGAUACAAGCUGAAGGACAAUUGAAACAUACCAUGGUGUAUCGUCGCGACAAACCUCUACGUUGUCUUAUGUUCUGUGUUUUUGUGUUUCAAGUUUUAUGUUUGUCUUGUAGCGCUUGUCCAAUUGCUAGCAUUAUGGUAUAUGGUGUUUAGGAAAAGGGAAGAUAUCGCAUCAGGCAGGGAACAGCAACAUACCAUACUUACAGCCCUUUUUAACUCUAACCAGACCCCUCCCUCUUCCUACCCCUCCGCAUCUUGCCAAAUUGUCAAUCACACACCUAUCCCCAUGGUGGCCACCUCCGUCCAGAAGCCUCUGAUACAUCAAGCUUAUAACUACCUUUUUACUGAUUGUUUACAUCUCCACCGAAUACUCUGAUUUUCAUCUAAAUGUAGUA